GGUGAAGUGAUUUCACCCUGCUGCCCGGGCCAGUCGUGUGAGCAGGCCUGCGCAACAGAAUGGAAACUCCGUGAGCAGAAGACUGAGUUGGUGGUCGGUUCAGGCUGCUGUAAUAAAGUACUACAGACUGAGUGGCUUAAAACAACACAAGUUCUGGAAUCUGGAAGUCCAAGAUGAGGUGCUGGCCUGAUGGUCAGGUUCAUCUGUUUUGCAUCCUAAAGUUCUCGUAUGAGUGACGUCAUAGGGUAUUUGUCAGAUCCCAUCUAAAUGCCUCUCACCGGAGUGUACCCUUCGGUCUUUGUGUCCGUCUGUCCCCCCAUCCCCGGUGAAAAGCGCAAGGAUCCUGGACACUCUUCAGGCGGUGGAGCUGAUCCCGUUACUGUUGGCUUGUGCAAAACUAAAGAAUUUAACUCCGGGGAAGCCAGAGCCCUCUAUGGACAGGCUGCCUUUGGAACCUUGACCUGAGCUUGAGGACAGCCGGGUGCUGGGGCGCAGGUGUGGCUGGGGCGGCACCCUCCCCCCGGAGAUUCUCAGGGUGCACAGAUGAUAGGCUGCCUUCCCCCACGCUGUUGUUCUAAGCUGUGAUCGAGCCCCAAGGUGACAAUUGCUCAGUUACGUGACCCUCUCAGUCUGCUAAACGUGGCAAAAAUUGAGUAAGCUCUAGGUGCCCAGAACCAUCCUGAACACAUUCAUGGACUGUCUCAUUCAUCUUCACGUUGUCGAUAUGCAGUACAGGUAACCCUAAAAGCUCUGAAAACACCAAGUUCUGGAAAGUCACUUGGCAGCACACUUUGGCUGGGGGAGGUCCUUGACAGGUUUUAUCCACUCGAAGCGUGCCCGUGCUUCCGCUGUAAGAUUCCAAAUGCUGUGGAAGAGGAACAGCUAGAAAGCCUUUAUUCUAGCAUAAAGCCUCAUUCAGCAUAAGCCUUUAUUCUAGAACUCCAGGCCCGAGAAGUCCCUAAAGCAGUGUUCUGCCUCCGGGGAACGAGGGAGGGACUGUCUACCAGGGCCGUAGCAGGAGAAUCAGUCCUAAUUCAGCAGGUGCAGGGAUCGUGGGUUGAAGGUGGGUCUCGGCGGAGGGAGGAAUUCUUCGUGCGUGUCUGCAGCCAGGAUUCAGGGCUUUGGAGAGGAGCCAGGGCUGAGGUCCUGCGUGAGAGGGGGUGGAAGGGCCCACUGAGGAGGACAGGGACCCAGACGGCUUCCGUGGACACUUCUCAACCCUCCAGGGCCUCUCACGGAGUAUGUUUGCUGAUGGGGUGCUGCCCCAGCCCCUGCUGUGAAGU